CGCGUUAAGUCUGUAGUAGUAGACCCGAAACCGAGCGAUCUAUCCAUGGCCAGGGUGAAGGUUAGGUAACACUGACUGGAGGCCCGAACCCACUUAUGUUGAAAAAUGAGGGGAUGAGCUGUGGAUAGGAGUGAAAGGCUAAUCAAACCCGGAGAUAGCUGGUUCUCUUCGAAAACUAUUUAGGUAGUGCCUCAUGUAUUACCAUUGGGGGUAGAGCACUGUUUCGGCUAGGGGGUCAUCCCGACUUACCAAACCGAUGCAAACUCCGAAUACCAAUGAGUACGAGCAUGGGAGACAGACUGCGGGUGCUAACGUCCGUAGUCGAGAGGGAAACAACCCAGACCGUCAGCUAAGGUCCCAAAUUAUGAUUAAGUGGGAAACAAUGUGGGAAGGCACAAACAGCUAGGAGGUUGGCUUAGAAGCAGCCAUCCUUUAAAGAAAGCGUAAUAGCUCACUAGUCGAGUCGGCCUGCGUGGAAGAUAUAACGGGGCUAAAUCAUAAACCGAAGCUACGGAUCUUAAAUUUAUUUAAGAUGGUAGAAGAGCGUUCUGUAAGCGGCCGAAGGCGUGCUGUGAGGCAUGCUGGACGUAUCAGAAGUGCGAAUGUUGACAUGAGUAACGAUCAAAGAGGUGAAAAACCUCUUCGCCGAAAAUCCAAGGUUUCCUGUCCAACGCUAAUCGUGGCAGGGUGAGUCGGCUCCUAAGGCGAGGGCGAAAGCCGUAGUCGAUGGAAAACAGGCUAAUAUUCCUGUACUUCUUAUAAUUGCGAUGGGGUGACGGAGAAGGUUAGACUAGCACGGCGAUGGUUGUCCGUGUUCAAGGUUGUAGACUUAGAUCUUAGGUAAAUCCGGGAUCUUUUAAGGUCGAGGACUUAUAACGACCACUCUUUGAGUGGGAAGUAGUUUAUACCAUGCUUCCAGGAAAAACCUCUAAGCUUCAGAUUAUAAGGAACCGUACCCUAAACCGACACAGGUGGAUAAGUCGAGAAGACUAAGGUGUUUGAGAGAACUAUGGUGAAGGAACUAGGCAAAAUGGUACCGUAACUUCGGGAGAAGGUACGCCACCAUUGGUGAUAAGACUUGCUCUUUAAGCUGAUGGUGGUCGAAGAAACUAGGUGGCUGCAACUGUUUAUUAAAAACAUAGCACUCUGCAAAAUCGUAAGAUGACGUAUAGGGUGUGACGCCUGCCCGGUGCCGGAAGGUUAAUUGAUGGGGUUAGCUUAGGCGAAGCUCCUGAUCGAAGCCCCGGUAAACGGCGGCCGUAACUAUAACGGUCCUAAGGUAGCGAAAUUCCUUGUCGGGUAAGUUCCG
rnacentral:rRNA from 1 species